UUCUGUCACUGAUGAUGCUGAGGGCUGAAGGAGGAGGAGCAUGUCUACCAUGCUCCCUCGCGGUUCCAUGCUCCUCCUCCUUCAGCCCUCAGCAUUAUCAGUG